UACGAAGGGGGCUAGCGUUGUUCGGAAUUACUGGGCGUAAAGCGCACGUAGGCGGAUUGUUAAGUCGGGGGUGAAAUCCCGGGGCUCAACCCCGGAACUGCCUUCGAUACUGGCGAUCUCGAGUCCGGAAGAGGUUAGUGGAAUUCCCAGUGUAGAGGUGAAAUUCGUAGAUAUUGGGAAGAACACCGGUGGCGAAGGCGGCUCUCUGGACCGACACUGACGCUGAGGCGCGAAAGCUAGGGGAGCGAACAGG
rnacentral:rRNA from 1 species